rnacentral:sRNA from 2 species
GGGCAAGUCAAAACAGUAUAUUGUUUUGAUGCUCGGGUUUUAUUUUGAAAUUUUUUUUUCAUCCUUCCUCUCUGUUUCUUCAGGGUCUUUAUUUACCGCUUUGCCGUGUGUGGUUGUUGCAGGAUGGCGGAGGCCCCUAAUCAAUCAUAGUUCUCUAGUUGGUUAACUAACUUCUGUGAACUUUAGCACUUUGUGCUUUUGUGAGGGACUAGCUUGUGUUUGACUUGUUUGUCUUAGAUGGUUAUCAUAUUAUCAGUGUUGAGGCGUAAAAUGAUUUGAGAGAUCGUGGUUUGAUAAAGUUUUUGUGGUGAAGCUUAUUUAACAGAUUAUUGUGGAGAAGUUGGUUUGUGGAGAAGAGAGUUUCAGGCCAACCAGUGGGUGAAGUGGCAGGUUUUACGCUGUAGUGCUGGAUUAUUAUCCAAUACCAUGAAGCGGAUAGGGAUAGAAUCGGAUAUGGAUGGUAUGGGUCACUGGUAAUCAUUUGAUGAUAUCAUAUUAUCAUAUGAUAAUUUGCCGGGUUUAACUAAAAGGGUUAAAAAAAUAAACUAAAAUAAAAAAUAAAACAAGGUGGACAAAUCAUUGGGUAUAUAUACACACACGGAAUGCAGACGAUAUGCAGACGAUGCAGGAGAGGGAAAAAGAAAACUAAAAGAGGAAAGAGAAAAGAAAAAGAAAUAAUUGAAACACACAGCAGAAGGCAAGUGGGAAAUAUUUCAUAAAGUGGACAUAGAUAUACUGCGCAGGUUUGGGACGAUCAAUCGAUUGAAUGGACUGAGGCUAGAGAGAGACGGAGGUGGGGACUGAUAGAUGGACAGACCCAAUCUUAGAUUGGUUUGCACUACACUAUUUUCCGCGAUCUGUUGAGGAUCAGUAGAUUUUGUAUCUGAGAGAAAGGUGAAGAUAGGUUCAAAUGGAAAUAAAAUGAUAAAUAGAAAACAAAAUAGGUUAUGGUAUACAUGCAGAACAAACAAAAAAGAAAGAAAAAGAACUUAGUGCCAUGCUCCUGUGUAUCUAUCCCCAUGCUUUCGCCUUUCUUUGGUUUUGGGUUGUUGGUUCUAUUUUGUCUGCUGCUUGAUGACACUUUUCAGAUAAAACAUGGGGCAAGGUGCAAUUUGGGAGGGUAAUAACAUGUUGAGAAACAAAUGAACAGAAUAGGAAAGAAACAAAAAUGCAUGCAAGUUGAAUGGGGUCAGGUCAAUUGGAUUGGUAUCUGUUGUUCCAUAGCUGUUUGCUAUUGUUGUUGAUUUUCGCUUGCAAGGGACAAAAGUGUUCAAUAGUCAGAAGGGGUAUUUUAGUUCACCCGUGAUGAGGAGGUAAACUACGCUGAUAGAAGAAAUGCAUUUAGAGCAAAGUAAAAAAAGUCAAGGCG